GCGCCCGUAGUUAAACUGGAUAUAACAGUGGAUUGCGAUUCCGCCGUUCUGGGUUCGAGUCCCGGCGGGCGCA
rnacentral:tRNA from 1 species